GACGGAGGGUGCAAACGUUGUUCGGAAUCACUGGGCCUAAAGCGCACGUAGGCGGUCCGCUAAGUCAGAUGUGAAAUCCCCCGGCUCAACCGGGGAACUGCACCUGAUACUGGCGGGCUCGAGGACGGUAGGGGUGAGUGGAACUCCAGGUGGAGCGGUGAAAUGCGUAGAUAUCUGGAGGAACACCGGUGGCGAAAGCGGCUCACUGGACCGUCUCUGACGCUGAGGUGCGAAAGCUAGGGUAGCAAACGGG
rnacentral:rRNA from 1 species